UAACAUCCCCAAUCUGGAGGCUGUAAACAAGAAAUCGGUGCUUGCGGCCAUGUGAUGUAUGUCAACUCCAGUUGAAAAGGAUCCUACUGUUGUCUUGUUUGCCAGCGAAAACGUCUUUUGCAGUGGGAAAAAAGAUUUAGGAUGACUUGGGCGUACCAUUAUGCUGUCACCAGAACAACCGCAGUAGAGUUUAUCUUCUGAUAGUGCCAGGCAUUUGACGUAUUUGUUGAAAUUUAUAUGCUUGGGAACCCCAAAGAAGUUGAACACCUGUAAUAUCCAGUCCAUUACAUAUAUGCCAGAUUAUUGAUUUCAAUGGAUUUUGAUUUUUCAAAUCUUGUAGCUUAAACCACGGUUACCUUAACACCAUUUCCUGGAGAAACAAAGCAUGCGAGUUUGCCAUUUACUUUCAAGUCAUAAACUGGCUCCUUCACUUCGUGGACUUGAACGCACUGUAUUUCUUCAGAUUUGAUGCUCCAUACCUGUAAAUGUUGUAGUUUCCGAGAAUCAAUGGUAGAAGUUUGAUCAGAAUAAGAUUUGCUUUCAGAUGUAGUGAUAAAAGUAAGGCCAAUUUGCUAUCAUCCUCUUAUAGAAUAAAUGUGGAGUAGAACCAGAUUCAUAAUCA